rnacentral:rRNA from 1 species
UACGAAGGGGGCUAGCGUUGCUCGGAAUCACUGGGCGUAAAGGGUGCGUAGGCGGGUCUUAAGUCAGGGGUGAAAUCCUGGAGCUCAACUCCAGAACUGCCUUUGAUACUGAAGAUCUUGAGUUCGGGAGAGGUGAGUGGAACUGCGAGUGUAGAGGUGAAAUUCGUAGAUAUUCGCAAGAACACCAGUGGCGAAGGCGGCUCACUGGCCCGGUACUGACGCUGAGGUG